CACGCAGGCGGAUUGAUAAGUCAGGGGUGAAAUCCCGGAGCUCAACUUCGGAAUUGCCUUUGAUACUGUCAAUCUCGAGUCCGGGAGAGGUGAGUGGAAUUCCUAGUGUAGAGGUGAAAUUCGUAGAUAUUAGGAAGAACACCAGUGGCGAAGGCGGCUCACUGGCCCGGUACUGACGCUCAUGUGCGAAAGCGUGGGGAGCAAACA
rnacentral:rRNA from 1 species